GGUGGCAAAUACAAAUCCGGGCGGCCGGAGGGCGGCCGCCGAUGGGUCCCAGGACGUCCCGCCGUGGAAGAAGUGACGGAGAGAAGGGACCGAGUGCCUCAUGUGGGGAUCAGAGACGGCCCCUUCCGCUAGGUUACAAAGGAGGAGAAUUAGGCCGCUGUUUGGGCCCUGACUGACUGAGACGGAUGUCACUUCUGCUUCGGCCAGAGCCCCCCUCCCAGAGCCACUUAUGUACCUAGACGUUUGGGGGCGAGGUGAAAGAGGCGGCCCUGAGUCCCCAACCUGGAUCGCCCGGUGGGCGCUGCCUCCGGCUGAGAAGAGGGCCGCUCCAACAGCCCGAGGCCUUCCCUUGGCCCCUGCCCGGAGCUGAGUCUGCGGCCCCGGGGCAGCUGCCCGCGGCGCCCCCGCGGGAGACGCGCCCCUCGGACCCCAGGCUGCAGGCGCGGGCCUCCUCGCCGCUCCGGAGGCGCCCCUUCCUUUCCCCCGCCCGGGCAGUGACUUCCCCGCUGACGAACGGCGCCCGGGAGCCUGCCGGCAGCGUUCCGAGCAGCCGCUUGUCUCCCAAGAGAAAUGAGAGGGACAGAAGGUGGAUCAAGAGAAGCAAAGUAUAAUCAGAGGAGGCCAUGACCUUAUAGAAGCAGAAAGGAGUUAUGUGGAGGGAAUGAGACAAAUACAAAUAUUUAUCCACAUCAAUAUAUUCAUAUCUAAUUAAGAUGCUCCUGCACCAGGACAGCUGUUUGCAUUGCAUCGACAGCAGCCAAGCCCAUCCCAGUUCUGCUAUUUCAUAGCAGAAAUCUGCAUCCCCAAUGCCAGACAGAAAGAGCAGAGACAUUAUAGGAUCCCGGCUGCAGGCCUGUGGGGAAGCAUGAAGGUUACUCUUCAGUCCUUGAUUCCUUUUUUUCUGUCCAGUUUUGUGAUUUUUCCCUCUGAGACACCAUUCACUCCAGUAUGUCAUGCGAAGGACCAUUAUUACACCAGAAGAAAGGGAAGCAACUUCAGCCUUAUGCCAGAGAAAACUAACCCCUAAUCACAUGUAUACAGCUAAUAACCUCUACUCCCAACCCCAUAUGCUUCUACUCAGCAAGAAAAGAUUUUCAUAAACCCCCAAAGUCAUACUCCACAAACAUCUACCAGCUACUACUGUAACUACCAAUACUGACCUGGAUGUCCCAGGGAAAGGGUUUCAGGGAAAGGGGUAUGUAGGUGGUGGUGGAGGCCUUGGCAUGCAAGUGGGCCAAGUCAGGGGGAGAAUAGAGACCAAAUUAGCCCAUAUUCUACCUUCUACAGCAGGUCUUCUCCAUCUCAGAGCCACUAGUGCCUUCCUUUUUGAGAUCACCUUCCACUGCCUCUGAAUAUAUCUUGAAUUGUACCUAAUUAUUUACAGGUUGUUUCUUCCAUUGCAAUCUUCCUUGAGAGCAAGUACAGAUUGGAGUUUUCUUUUGUUGUGAUUUGUUUGCUUAUUUAUAGAAAUUUAAUAACUAUUUAUUUAUUA
rnacentral:lncRNA from 1 species